rnacentral:rRNA from 1 species
UGGUACUUGUACCAACUGGAUGAGCAGCGAACGGGUGAGUAACGCGUGGGGAAUCUGCCUUUGAGCGGGGGACAACAUUUGGAAACGAAUGCUAAUACCGCAUAAAAACUUUAAACACAAGUUUUAAGUUUGAAAGAUGCAAUUGCAUCACUCAAAGAUGAUCCCGCGUUGUAUUAGCUAGUUGGUGAGGUAAAGGCUCACCAAGGCGAUGAUACAUAGCCGACCUGAGAGGGUGAUCGGCCACAUUGGGACUGAGACACGGCCCAAACUCCUACGGGAGGCAGCAGUAGGGAAUCUUCGGCAAUGGACGAAAGUCUGACCGAGCAACGCCGCGUGAGUGAAGAAGGUUUUCGGAUCGUAAAACUCUGUUGGUAGAGAAGAACGUUGGUGAGAGUGGAAAGCUCAUCAAGUGACGGUAACUACCCAGAAAGGGACGGCUAACUACGUGCCAGCAGCCGCGGUAAUACGUAGGUCCCGAGCGUUGUCCGGAUUUAUUGGGCGUAAAGCGAGCGCAGGUGGUUUAUUAAGUCUGGUGUAAAAGGCAGUGGCUCAACCAUUGUAUGCAUUGGAAACUGGUAGACUUGAGUGCAGGAGAGGAGAGUGGAAUUCCAUGUGUAGCGGUGAAAUGCGUAGAUAUAUGGAGGAACACCGGUGGCGAAAGCGGCUCUCUGGCCUGUAACUGACACUGAGGCUCGAAAGCGUGGGGAGCA